AGAUUGAACGCUGGCGGCAUGCCUAACACAUGCAAGUCGAACGGGAGUAGCAAUACUCUAGUGGCGGACGGGUGAGGAAUACGUAGGAAUUUGCCCUUAAGUGGGGGAUAACCCGGGGAAACCCGGAUUAAUACCGCAUGACCUCGAAAGAGCAAAGUGGGGGAUCGCAAGACCUCACGCUUUUGGAGAAGCCUACGUCGGAUUAGCUAGUUGGUGAGGUAAUGGCUCACCAAGGCGACGAUCCGUAACUGGUCUGAGAGGAUGAUCAGUCACACCGGAACUGAGACACGGUCCGGACUCCGUACGGGAGGCAGCAGGUGGGGAAUA
rnacentral:rRNA from 1 species